UCGGAUAUGGUGUAAUGGCUAACAUUAUCGCCUCUCAAGUUUCUGAGUGAUCGCGAUAGCUCGGGGUUCGAUUCCCCGUAUCCGAA